UUGGGAAAUGAGCAUUUCCACGAAUCUGCCUCAGUUUACUUUUUCUUGGGUUGCCUUUCGGUCGCGGAAAAUACAAGCCUGAUUGUAGGUUACGCACCUACUACAUGGCUGGAGACCAUCGCACUGUGAUGAACAUCAGAAAUUUGGUGGAUCCUCACACCCAUUAAUGGAAAUGCUACCUUGGCCUUUUUGACUCGACAUCUCUCACAAGCCCUCUGUACAUGCUUUCUUUUCGUACGAAAUACUCGAUGAGCUGGCUUCUCGUCACAUCUCCGAUCAGAAAGAUUGCUGGAACCUGGAUACUGAUAACCGGAAACACCAGUGUCGAGUUUAGGAAAAAGAAUCUUUUGUUGAGACAUCUGUAAGUAUUUCAGAUCUCGACUAACGCUUCUGGAACAGUCAAAGGGGAAAACACGACCAGGGAACAUGCAAGCAGCGACAAAGUUUGAUGGACUGAGCGCAAACCGACUACUAAGAAAACAAUCACCCUGGUCUUAAUGAGAAGAAAAAUGCAAGGAAUCAGGGAAUGGGAAAGGGUUGAAUUGUCGGCCUUAAAUCAAUGUACCUUCGAGAUGGGAACCGUUACUUGUCUUAUCAAGGCAUCAAGCUUACAACUAUCAGUAUCUGUUUGGUAAUGAUAGUAGGCCAAUUGCAAAAUGCCGCAUUACGGUUUCGGUGACGUGGAGUAGUUGUCCUGUCGACGACACACACAAUUUUUCUCUGCAGCGUUGUUGGGUUAAUUGUGGUUUGUCACGUCAAAACAAUCCCUGCAAACUACUUUGACAGGGACUCGUGCAUCCAGAUUUAACUGGCUCAUAUCCAAAGGUGGCGCUGCAUCAAUGCAGAACUAUCAGUCCUUGGUUCAUGACUUGCAUUUAUCACCGAAAUAGUGUGCUUUUUGCGGAUUUAGUUUGUGUUUUAGUGGAUGUGGAGAAUACGGAGGCAGAAAUGGCUACUACUACAUACAUCUUACGCCUGUUUGCCUGGCUAAUUUGCGCCCGUUUCGACCAGUUACAUGAUCCAAGACUUUUCCUUUGUAGAUUGGUCAAUGAAGACAUUUCAGAAUCCAAAGAGUGCAGUUUCCCAUGUACACACGACCAUGAAUACGAAAUUUACUAUUAGCCAUCUCACCUACUAAACCAGCCUGCCAACUGACCCAUUACACUGAAACGAACCACGAAGCAUGUCUUGAUUGACUUUCUCACAUGUCAUUCGCCUGGUAUAUUGACUUCAUUGUGUAUACCCAAGGCGCCUCGCAUCUUUCCAAGUUACCUAGCUUAUUUUGUUUACCUACUCGAUUUGACUUGAUAUUGACUUGAUUCUCGGGUCGAAAGGGUUGCCGUUUGCCGUUUACCGCGCAUCUCUCAUGCCCUAGACUCUUUUGACUAUUUUUAGCAAAUCAAGUCUUACAUUCAAAAUUAUUGAGAUAUCCGGGGAUACCCAAUUUCCCGCAAAAUGGGGGAAUACGCUGACAGUAGUCGAGAACAAGAAAGAAAUGCCAACAAUUCACUUCUAACUCAAAUAAGGAAACCACUAUAUUUGACAGUUUGAGACUAUCAAUAAUCAACCAGAGAAGCCAAUCAGGCGCACCUGUCAACAUCGGGAUAUAUCAUCCGAAUAUGUACGUACACACGAGGUAUGGCUUGCA
rnacentral:lncRNA from 1 species